rnacentral:tRNA from 1 species
GCCGGGAUGGAGGAACAGGCAGACUCGGCGGAUUCAAAAUCCGCUGCCCGCAAGGGCGUGGGGGUUCGAAUCCCCCUCCCGGCA